UACGUAGGGGGCAAGCGUUGUCCGGAUUUAUUGGGCGUAAAGAGCUCGUAGGCGGCUUGUUGCGUCGACUGUGAAAACCCGCGGCUUAACUGCGGGCUUGCAGUUGAUACGGGCAGGCUAGAGUUCGGUAGGGGAGACUGGAAUUCCUGGUGUAGCGGUGAAAUGCGCAGAUAUCAGGAGGAACACCGGUGGCGAAGGCGGGUCUCUGGGCCGAUACUGACGCUGAGGAGCGAAAGCGUGGGGAGCGAACAGG
rnacentral:rRNA from 1 species